CCGCCACCGUCACCUCCACCAGGUACUCGCCAGUCGCCAUCGCUUGCUUGCUCGCUGUCGCAGCCGCAAAAGGGAGUGCGCUGCCGCGCCGGCCACUGUGAGGGGCAGAGGGAGGUGGCUCCGCUAACGCCUUUUGGCCGGUCUCUAGGCUCGGCAGCUCACCUCCGCGAGUGAGGGAGGUGGCGGCUCGAUGGGGUGGGAGUGGGAGGGGAGCGGAGCCAGCGGUGGAAGAGAGGAGGAGGUAGCGGUGUUGGCAGUAGAGGGAGGUGGCGGCUCAGUGGGGUGGGAGUGGGAGGGAAGCGGCGCCGGUGGUAGAGGGAAGCGACGAUUAGUGGGAUGGGAGUGGGAUAGGAGCGGAGCCGGCGGUGGAUGAGAGGAGGGGGUAGCGGCACUGUCGGCGGAGGAGAGGAGAGGCGGAGUAACACC
rnacentral:lncRNA from 1 species